GGACACCAGAGGUUUGGCAAUGAAAGAACAGAGACAUGGUGGAAAGCUGGUUGAAAAAGGGGAUUUAGCUAUCUGAGAAAUGAAUUCACCAGCAGCCUGAGAGCUGAACGAGGAAGGACAGACAAUUAAUUCAGCGUCUCGCCAGGCAACUGCCUUCUUUCUCUAACAGGAGAUGUUGGUUGUACGUGUUGCAAGCAUUGUACUCUGGAGAAAGUGCCUUAUAAGCGAUUAAACACUGUUGUUGGGAACACUGUUUAAAAUGCUGCUCACACUUAAAGCCAGACCAGCAACCGGGACAGCAAUAUGUUACGAGUGUUUAGAGACUACAGCCAAACGUGAUGAACAAAACGGAGCGAUUUCUCCUACACAAAUAAUAUUUUGGGAGAAACUGAACAUUUGCUAUCUAACUGAG
ensembl:lncRNA